rnacentral:lncRNA from 1 species
CGAAGGGAAAACCAAAUUUGCUUUUUUUCUGAAGGGAAUUUGUGUUUGUCAGGAAGGGCUCCCAGGGUCUUUGUCUGGAGGCCUUGAUGUGUGACCAGUAGCCCAGAGGCUGCCCUUCACCCCUGGCCUUAUUCUGCCAGGGCUCUGCCCACCCACACGGACACGGCAGGGGGAAGGGUUUCAGAGGAGGCAGAAUCAAAAGCUGAGGGAUGAGGAGGGGGGAAAAAAGUGCUUUUCAGGGUCUGAUGUGUGGGAAUCAAAUGAGAGGCCUAGCUCAAAUCCGGUCGCCAGGCAACCAUAGUGAUAUGCUGAGGGAAUAUCAUUAAAGUUGGGAAGUAAGCAGGCUCUCUGAAUUAGUAAACCUGCCCACAGUGCAGGGGAUGGAGGGGAUGCGCCCCAACUCCACUGGCUCCCCAGCACAAGCUCUGCAAGGAGGAGGAGAGCUCUCCCAAAGUGCAGCGAACAUCUGUGACUCUAAUGAGGUCAUCAUCGAGGGUGUCCAGAGAGCUGGGCCCUGAGAACCAACCUCGACUGCCUUGGCCUGGACGGAGAGGGUGUUGGUCACCUAUUCCUUCAUUCAAUGAGCAUUUAGGACUUACUCUGGACCAGCUACUGGAAAUACAAAGACAAAAGUACAAUUAUCUUUAACCUCAUGAAGCUUCAUUCAGUAACACUCAAACAGAGAAGACAACCAGGAUUGCAAGAUACCCAGACCUGGUACACACUCAGCUGUCUAUGAUGAGCUUCUUUUCUGGAGUAGAAGUUAACAUGCUGAACUUGGAAACAGGAAGGGUUGCAUCUGAAUCUUACCUCUAACUCUUAUUACUUAUUGGACCUAAAUACAGGUCAUUUUGUUUCUCUCAGCCUCAGUUUCUUCAUCUGUAACAUAAGGCCACUAAUUGCCACGGUGCCUCCUUUGUUAAAAAGAUAAUGAGGCUCAGAGAAAUUACAGCUAAUUAGAAUCAGAUAGAGGACAAGAAGGUAGAUUUCUUGCCACUCACUCCAGUGUUCUUAUCAUUAUAUGUUACUAGGCUAGGAAGUAAAGGUAUGUAUACAGUAUGUGCUCACGACAAGUUGGUUCACUAUAAAGUCUUACCAAAAACCUGCUCAGGACUCCCAUAGUUCUUCCUGCAUUUCCCACUCAUCCAGUUUUUUAGCAUGUACCACAUCGUGACAUCUCUCACUUUGUACAAACAAAUAUAAAAUGGCAACUCUUUAUUUUUGAAAUGUUUAUUUAGUCAAUUUAGAACAUUUUUUCCUUGGUUACAAGAAUCAUAUUCUUUCCCUCCCCUCCUCCUACCCCUUCCUGUAGCCAAUGCACAAUUCCAUUGGGUUUUACAUGUGUCCUUGAUCAAGACCUAUUUCCCUAUUAUUGAUGUUUGCACUAGGGUGAUCAUUUAGAGACAACAUCCCCAGUCAUAUCCCCAUCAACCCAUGUAACCAGGCAGUUGUUUUUCUUCUGUUUCUAUUCCCUCAGUUCUUCCUCUGGAUGAGGAUAGCAUCUUUCUCAUAAGUGCCUCAAAAUUGUCCUGGAUCAUUGCCUUGCUGCUAAUAGAGAAGUCCAUUACGUUCGAUUGUACCAGUGUCUCAGUCUCUGUGUACAAUGUUCUCCUGGUUCUGCUCCUUUUGCUCUGCAUCAAUUCCUGGAGGUCUUUCCAGUUCACAUGGAAUUCCUCCAGUUCAU